AUUGAACGCUGGCGGCAUGCCUUACACAUGCAAGUCGAACGGCAGCACGGGAGCAAUCCUGGUGGCGAGUGGCGAACGGGUGAGUAAAGUAUCGGAACGUGCCCAGUCGUGGGGGAUAACGUAGCGAAAGUUACGCUAAUACCGCAUACGAUCUAUGGAUGAAAGCGGGGGAUCGCAAGACCUCGCGCGAUUGGAGCGGCCGAUAUCAGAUUAGGUAGUUGGUGGGGUAAAGGCUCACCAAGCCGACGAUCUGUAGCUGGUCUGAGAGGACGACCAGCAAAACUGGGACUGGGACCCGGCCCAGACUCCUACGGGAGGCUGCAGUGGGGAAUUUUGGACAAUGGGCGAAAGCCUGAUCCAGCCAUGCCGCGUGCAGGAUGAAGGCCUUCGGGUUGUAAACUGCUUUUGUACGGAACGAAAAGGUUUGGCCUAAUAAGCUGAGCUCAUGACGGUACCGUAAGAAUAAGCACCGGCUAACUACGUGCCAGCCGCCGCGGUAA
rnacentral:rRNA from 1 species